CUCCACUAACCACAUAAACCCCAAAACGAGUCUGCUUUCUCCCUCCCCAACUCACCGCCUUUCUCUUCUUCAUCUUCUGGUAAUUCUAAGCCGGACAAGAAGAAGCUCAGAGGAAACACCAUCGAUUCACUACUGUCAAUCGUUGAUUCACCACUGUCAACGACCGAUUCUCCCUUGUCAGCCAUGGAUUCUCCACUCUUCUCCAUUCGUCGGCCUGGAACUCACGUGCUCUUUACGAAGAUUCAUCGAUUCACCACCGGAAAGAGGAAACUUCCUGAGACAGUUGAAGUCUUCGCGAAAUCUUCGAAGGUAUUCAUCGAUUCACCACGGAAAGAGGAAACUUCCUAAGAAAGUUGAAGUCUUCGCCGAAAUCUUCGAAGUGUGGUGUACAGACAGAGAACCUGAAUCCUUCUAACAUCCAAUGCACAUGUUCAUACAUCUUUUCACAUAUGGGCGAAGACCUAUCACUUUGGUGAGUUGAUAAUCUGCUCUAGGCAUGUCUACACCACUGGUAGUGCAAAAGAUUAAAAACUUUUUAGAGAAGGAAUAGAAUGAAGAGACUUGUGGUGGAAAGAUGUAGGAGGGUGAGAUGGUUUUAUAGAAAGGGAAAUAAGAGUGGAUAUUGGAAGGUUGUGGAACAUCACGUGUUUGACUCAAACCUAAACAUCAUGAGAAUAAUAUAUUCAACUCAACAACCAUUUAAGUAUGGGUACAUACCAAUAAAACUAAAACUAUGGAUGCCUAACUGUGUCAACUGUGAACUCAUUGACCGGGCCUGAAUGUGUUUGGUUGAAAAUACCCGCAUGACCUUGACCUUGUGAAAUAUAACUUCUAUUGAUGAUGAAGGUGGUUCGUCUAGUAAGAAAACAAUUGGUAAACGUGUUGUGGCUCGGAUGCAAAAAAUUCCCAAAGCCAAAAGGAAUGGGAAGAGGAUUGAGGUUCAAUGGAAUGUAAGUGGUCAACCAAUCAAGCAUAAAAGCAAGAGUUUUGCUAGCUAAGUGAUUGUAUUUGUGGGUUCGUCGCGUUUGGUUCGUGAAGUGUGGUUACUACUUGGUGUUGUUUUGUUGUCCUUUCUUGUUUUCUUAGGUGUUUUGUUUAGAGAAUAUGGCUGAUUGCUUUGGGAUUUAGAUUGAAGUAAUCUUAGUUGGAAUGCAUGCAUCUAAAAUUUAGCUAUACAAAUGUCCUCUUUUUUUUUAGUACACUAAAUGCCCUCUAUAUAUAUGUUCUGAUAUCUGUAAACAAGUGGAUUUGGUUUAAAAUGUUUUUUGGCAUUGAUGGAUCAUAAUA